UAAGACGAACCGUGCGAACGUUGUUCGGAAUCACUGGGCUUAAAGGGCGCGUAGGCGGGUCGUCAAGUCAGUGGUGAAAUCCUCCGGCCUAACCGGAGAAGAGCUGUUGAUACUGGCGACCUCGAGGGGUGUAGGGGCCUGUGGAACUGCGGGUGGAGCGGUGAAAUGCGUAGAGAUCCGCAGGAACGCCGGUGGCGAAAGCGACGGGCUGGACACCUUCUGACGCUGAGGCGCGAAAGCCAGGGGAGCAAACGGGAUUAGAUACCCCGGUAGUCCUGGCCCUAAACGAUGGGUACUAGGUUGGAGGCUUACAUGGGCUUCCAGCCGGAGCAAAAGUGUUAAGUACCCCGCCUGGGGAGUAUGGUCGCAAGGCUG
rnacentral:rRNA from 1 species